ACAACUUUCAGCAACGGAUCUCUUGGCUCUCGCAUCGAUGAAGAACGCAGCGAAAUGCGAUAAGUAAUGUGAAUUGCAGAAUUCAGUGAAUCAUCGAAUCUUUGAACGCACCUUGCGCCCUUUGGCUAUUCCGAAGGGCAUGCCUGUUUGAGUAUCAUGAACA
rnacentral:rRNA from 1 species